GGUUGCAUAGUGUAGUGGUUAGCACAUCUGCUUUACACGCAGAAGGUCCUGAGUUUGUACCUCAGUGGAGCCA
rnacentral:tRNA from 1 species